rnacentral:rRNA from 1 species
AUUGAACGCUGGCGGCAUGCUUUACACAUGCAAGUCGAACGGCAGCGCGGGCUUCGGCCUGGCGGCGAGUGGCGAACGGGUGAGUAAUACAUCGGAACGUGCCCAGUCGUGGGGGAUAGCUCGGCGACAGCCGGAUUAAUACCGCAUACGACCUGAGGGUGAAAGCGGGGGAUCUUCGGACCUCGCGCUAUUUGAGCGGCCGAUGGCAGAUUAGCUAGUUGGUGGGGUAAAGGCCUACCAAGGCGACGAUCUGUAGCUGGUCUGAGAGGCCGACCAGCCACACUGGGACUGAGACACGGCCCAGACUCCUACGGGAGGCAGCAGUGGGGAAUUUUGGACAAUGGGCGAAAGCCUGAUCCAGCAAUGCCGCGUGUGUGAUGAAGGCCUUCGGGUUGUAAAGCACUUUUGGCGGGAACGAAAAGGACUGUGCCAAUACCACGGUUCGAUGACGGUACCCGCAGAAUAAGCACCGGCUAACUACGUG